CCUACGGGGGGCUGCAGUGAGGAAUAUUGGUCAAUGGACGCGAGUCUGACCCAGCAACGCAGCGUGAAGGAUGACUGCCCUCUGGUUUUUAAACUUCUUUUUUAUGGGAAUAAAACAUGGUAUGCAUACCCUCUUGUGUUUACCCUAUGAAUAAGGAUCGGCUAACGCCGUGCCGGCAGCGGCGGUAAUACGGAGGAUCCAAGCGUUAUCCGGAUUUAUUGGGUUUAACGGUAGCGUAGGUGGAGUGUUAAGUCAGUUGUGAAAGGUUGCGGCUCAACCGGGAAAUUGCAGUUGAAACUGGCAGUCUUGAGUGCAGGAGAGGUGGGCGGAAUUCGUGGUGUAGCGGUGAAAUGCUUAGAUAUCACGAAGAACUCCGAUUGCGAAGGCAGCUCACUGGACUGCAACUGACACUGAUGCUCGAAAGUGUGGGUAUCAAACAGGAUUAGAUACCCGGGUAGUC
rnacentral:rRNA from 1 species